GACGAACGCUGGCGGCGUGCUUAACACAUGCAAGUCGAACGGGCCCGCCCCUGUUUUUGGGGGUGGGUUGAGUGGCGAACGGGUGAGUAUCACGUGAGUAACCUGCCCCCUGCUCCUGGAUAACUGCUUGAAAGGGCGGCUAAUACGGGGUGUGCCGGCUGGUCCGCAUGGGCCUGGUCGGGAUAGUUUCAUCUUCGGGUGUUUCGGUGGGGGAUGGGCUCGCGGCCUAUCAGCUUGUUGGUGGGGUGAUGGCCCACCAAGGCGGUGACGGGUAGCCGGCCUGAGGGGGUGGGCGGCCACACUGGGACUGAGACACGGCCCAGAGUCCUGCGGGAGGCAGCAGUGGGGGGUAUUGCACAAUGGGCGGAAGCCUGAUGCAGCGACGCCGCGUGAGGGAUGGAGGCCUUCGGGUUGUGAACCUCUUUCUCCGGUGGUGAAGGCCCUGUCCGUUGCGGCGGGGUUGACGGUAGCCGGGUAUGAAGCGCCGGCUAACUACGUG
rnacentral:rRNA from 1 species